rnacentral:misc_RNA from 1 species
UGCUCGUCGCUGUUGCGGUAAUGAAAUAUCGGCUUUCAGCCUUUUUAAAUUUUGCUUCAUGUCACCGUUAAAAGCGCCAAACGGUGCAAUUGAAUGUAAUUAACAACGAUUAAUGUCUUAGAGUUAUGACAAUUAUUUAUCGGAUUCAUCAUAAAUAAGUGUGCUGAACAUCUGAUAUUUCACCCGUAAAUAAUACUCGAAGUCAUACAUUUUAAUUGCUUACGGUUCUAUUCAAGUUAUUCCUUCAACAUGGACGGGGAUAUCGAAAAAAUUCUCGGGCUUCUUCUGGAUGCAGGACUUCCUGCAACAAUCACUGAUGUGAGGAAUCCUACUGCUGAAUUUAUACAUAACUUAUUUAUUGCAUUUCUUUUGAAACAUGGAUAUGAUGCCAAUACGAUAUUAAAGCCUACAAUAAAACAAUUCGAAGCUUCAGUCAAUCCAGAUUCAUCAUAUUAUCAAAUAAUCAGUUUUGUGAACUUGUAUGUAUCAAUGAAUGAGAUAUGUCAGAAGAUAUUUAUAACAGAUUUCUGCCUCACCGAUAUUACAAGCCCAGGACCAAAAAGAGCACGUAGACAGGCAAAGUUUCUUUCAAACUUUAUCCUGUACAAGAAUAAAAAAGUGAUUGAAAUAGAAGAUGAAAUGAAAAAGCCAUUUAAUACCUAUAAGAUGUACAGUGAUUUUAUGAAAAAUGAAGAACAAAAUUAUGAAAAAAUCAUGCAAAAGGAACAUGAAAUUCAAGAACUACUGAAAAAGAAGGAAAAGCGUCAGAAAUUAAUUGAAAAGAUACGUCAACAAUUUAAAGUAAACACUGAUAAAAACAAUGAAAUAGAAGAAUUACAGAAGAUAAAAGAACAGAGCAGACUAAAAACCAAAGAAGUGCUCGAGUCUUUGACAGAGAAAGCUAGACAGGGUAAAAAAAAGGUUGAAGAAUACCAGGCAAAGAUUAUAGUUUCACCUGAAGAAUACCAAGCUCGACUGGAAGAUUUAAAGCAGGAACAGAAAUGCAUGGAAGAGUCGAGAACAUCUAUGUUUGAGACCAUUGGACAUAAAAAGCAACAGAUCACAGAGUUAGAAAAGAGACAUAACAUUAUUCAACAGGAAUAUGAGAAGUUAGGAGAAUUAAAGGCAAUUCGACAGAACUGGAUAGAAGUACAGAAAACAUUGAAAGAAACAAACAUAUUGACAGAAGAAUUAAUAUCUACAAAUCAAAAAUUGGACCAUACUAAUUCAUUGCGAAAACGUGAGUGCCAGGACUAUACUGAUAAAAAAGAUAAACUGAAUGCACAAUGCAAGGAAAAAUUAUCUCCUUUGCAUAAAAUGUACCUACACCGCUCAAAUGAGAAGAAAUCAGCUACACUAUCACUGGAGGAAACCCGUGCUCAUCUGCAUAAGAUGCACAAAGAAAAAGUUGAAAUAUGUGAAACCAUAAAAAAUAUUACAUGCGAUAUUUCUCGCUUUUUAAAAAUGUGCCAAGAAGCUUACAAUGAGGAAAUCAGGCUGGAGCAAAAAACUGAAGCCCCAUGGUCACAAUUUCCAAACUGAUUUCACAAGAAAGAGCUUGUACCACCAUAAGAAAUUACUCUAAAGAAAAUGUAAUGAGGCAUCAACUAAUAUUCUGCAUAACAAAAAAUUGGGCAAUUUCAGUGAAUUUCCCACAAUUGGGCAACAGUUGUUUUAGAAUAAUUUAUUGCUUAAUGUUGUGUUAACAGUAGUUUUUUACAUUCUCUUUACAAUAUAUAUAUAUUUUUAAUAACAUUAUGUAUACAUAUUA